rnacentral:lncRNA from 1 species
AUGCUGUCAUUCAUCUCUCCCUCCCACAUUACCUCCUCUCUCUACAGCCCGGUACCUCCUCUCUCUACAGCCCGGUACCUCCUCUCUCUACAGCCCGGUACCUCCUCUCUCUACAGCCCUGUACCUCCUCUCUCUACAGUCCUGUACCUCCUCUCUCUACAGCCCUGUACCUCCUCUCUCUACAGUCCUGUACCUCCUCUCUCUACAGCCCUGUACCUCCUCUCUCUACAGCCCUGUACCUCCUCUCUCUACAGUCCUGUACCUCCUCUCUCUACAGCCCUGUACCUCCUCUCUCUACAGCCCUGUACCUCCUCUCUCUACAGCCCUGUACCUCCUCUCUCUAUAGCCCUGUACCUCCUCUCUCUACUGUCCGGUGCCUCCUCUCUACAGCCCUGUACCUCCUCUCUCUACAGUCCGGUGCCUCCUCUCUCUACAGCCCGGUGCCUCCUCUCUCUACAGCCCGGUGCCUCCUCUCUCUACAGCCCGGUGCCUCCUCUCUCUACAGCCCGGUGCCUCCUCUCUCUACAGCCCGGUGCCUCCUCUCUCUACAGCCCGGUACCUCCUCUCUCUACAGCCCGGUACCUCUGCUCCCUACAGCUCUGUACCUCCUCUCUCUCCAGCUCUGUACCUCCUCUCUCUCCAGCCCGGUACCUCCUCUCUCUACAGCCCGGUACCUCCUCUCUCUACAGCCCGGUACCUCUUCUCUCUACAGCCCUGUACCUCCUCUCUCUACAGCCCUGUACCUCCUCUCUCUACAGCCCGGUGCCUCCUCUCUCUACAGCCCGGUGCCUCCUCUCUCUACAGCCCGGUACCUCGUCUCUCUACAGCCUGGUAAUUCUGCUUCUAACAGCCCUGUACCUCCUCUCUCUACAGCCCUGUACCUCCUCUCUCUACAGCCCGGUACCUCCUCUCUCUACAGCCCGGUACCUCCUCUCUCUACAGCCCUGUAGCCCCUCUCUCUACAGCCCUGAACCUCCUCUCUCGACAGCCCUGUACCUCCUCUCUCUCCAUUCUCUCAUUCACACCCCCACUACUUCAAUCCCGUACUGUUCCUCCCCUACAUCCUCAGUAAACCAGUUCUGGCUUUCCUUCCGCCUCCUGUUUCCCUCCCUCGUUACGUCACUCCUUUCCAGGACGGCCUCUGAUGCAAUUACCUCGCUUUUCUGCACAGUCACGUGA